UCCUUACUAAGUUGGGCAGAUCUGAACGGCCUCGGUUGCGGUUGUUUACAUAACAUCCGUGAUCGUGUGCUAUGUGUUUUAUAUUUCAUCAUUGAUAAUGUUUGCACAUGUGAUGAUACAUAAUAUUGGUUGUAGGAAAUGGCGGACGAGGAGUUAACUGAUAUCAUGGUAGACAUGGAGUUUGGAGAACUGAUGAAAGACUGGAUAGAAGAUUGGUCAGAUGAUGAAAAUUCAGAUCGUGAAGAUCGGUCAGAGAAUGGGAACGAAUGGGACGAUCUUAAUAUCGAUGAGCUUGAUGAUGAUCAGGAAAACAACUCGGAGCUCUCGAAUGAAGAUUACAUUAGUCAGGUACGUAAGUGAAAAAAUUUGUUGGCAUGCAAAUUGAAUUUCUUCUGGAAUAUUAUAUGAUAAGUAAUUAUGUA